ensembl:lncRNA
UAAAUGGCCAUGAGAUAUGUUAAUAUCCCCUUUUUCUGUGUUCAGAGCUUACCAAAGCAAUAGCAAACCUUGCAAAACCAUGAAAGAAACCACAAAUAUAUGCGACAUGGAUUCGGGUUCUUAACUCUGAUAAAACUCCGGGUGGAUCCAGUGAAAUUAUUGCACCUGCUCCAGAAGGGAAUUCUGCGGGGAGAAAAGAGAGUCAGUGUGUGAAAUUGGAUAUUUUGAAGCGGCAGAGGGGAGGAAGAAUUUCCCCAGUGCGCACCUCUGGGUACCCUCCUACCACCGACAUCAAAAGAAGCGAGCCGGUCGGUCAGAUAUAACGCUUGAUGAACAGAACACAGACCGAAGAUGACAAGAGGGAAGUUUACAAGGAGGUUUUACACGACAUAGGAGAUUUCAUUCACCACCAGCGACAACACAGUCUCCCCCAGCGUGUCCAAGCACGGACUGUCAGACCGGUGCGUUUUACGCAUAUCCUUUCCAGGCGUGCAGCAGAAAUAAAAUUGGACCUGGACGGGGAUGGGAAGAGGAUGGAACCUGCAGCCCUGACAGCACUGAUGCACUACUCGUUGAGCCAUGUAGAACCACACCUGUCUCCGUAAUGCAGUGGUGAGGCAGGUCUGGUGCCAGAGGGACUUUUCUUCCACGUAUGGAGGACCUCGCAGUGGGGAGCAGAGACACCCCCCAAAGUGUUAUAUCAGCAUCUGCAGGGAAACGCCAAUCCGAGCAGCAGCAUCGGCAUGAGCCAUCGAGCCAGCUAUCGCUUCUGAAACGCAACACCAACUCCAAUAGUGCUGAGAUAGCUCAAGAGAAAAGGCACAAUGCGCUGUGCUACUGUAAAUGUAUGUGUGCUUAAAAUGCAUGCACAUGUCAGCUACAGAGUGGUCACAACUCAAGAGUC